rnacentral:rRNA from 1 species
AGAGUUUGAUCAUGGCUCAGAUUGAACGCUGGCGGCAGGCCUAACACAUGCAAGUCGAGCGGUAGAGAGAAGCUUGCUUCUCUUGAGAGCGGCGGACGGGUGAGUAAUGCCUAGGAAUCUGCCUGGUAGUGGGGGAUAACGUCCGGAAACGGACGCUAAUACCGCAUACGUCCUACGGGAGAAAGCAGGGGACCUUCGGGCCUUGCGCUAUCAGAUGAGCCUAGGUCGGAUUAGCUAGUUGGUGGGGUAAUGGCUCACCAAGGCGACGAUCCGUAACUGGUCUGAGAGGAUGAUCAGUCACACUGGAACUGAGACACGGUCCAGACUCCUACGGGAGGCAGCAGUGGGGAAUAUUGGACAAUGGGCGAAAGCCUGAUCCAGCCAUGCCGCGUGUGUGAAGAAGGUCUUCGGAUUGUAAAGCACUUUAAGUUGGGAGGAAGGGCAGUAAAUUAAUACUUUGCUGUUUUGACGUUACCGACAGAAUAAGCACCGGCUAACUCUGUGCCAGCAGCCGCGGUAAUACAGAGGGUGCAAGCGUUAAUCGGAAUUACUGGGCGUAAAGCGCGCGUAGGUGGUUCGUUAAGUUGGAUGUGAAAUCCCCGGGCUCAACCUGGGAACUGCAUUCAAAACUGACGAGCUAGAGUAUGGUAGAGGGUGGUGGAAUUUCCUGUGUAGCGGUGAAAUGCGUAGAUAUAGGAAGGAACACCAGUGGCGAAGGCGACCACCUGGACUGAUACUGGCACUGAGGUGCGAAAGCGUGGGGAGCAAACAGGAUUAGAUACCCCGGUAGU